rnacentral:misc_RNA from 1 species
AGCUUUGUCACAGCAAAGAAAACUUCUGUUGCUUCAACCUUGGUGAAUGUUUCUCCUUGGUUCAAAAGAUAUAGAAGCUUUGUGAUGACCUGAGAGCACUUUCUUGGAUCAAGCUGAGGGUCAUUAAAAACCCUAGCUUCCUGAAGAACAGCUCCCUUCUCGAUUCCCAAAAAGGGAGAAUAAUCCGCUUCGUCGUCGCGGUCGUCAUCUUUCUUUAUGAGAGGCUGAGCCAUUGCUAAAUCAAAUUGGUCUUCAAGAUCUGGCAAAUUUUGUGAUUGGUAUUUAUAGAUACCCGCUCUAUUCUUCUCUCUAUCUGUGAGAAGUCUCUGUCCCUUCUAUAAAACGCAGCAAUGAAAUUUGGAAGACGAGGGACCUCUAUUUCUCUGCAAGUUACCGUGCGUCACCUUGAACAUCGGUUUAAACUAAAAAAUCGAA